CCCUCAUUUCUCUCAUUUCCCUUUCCACCAUUAACACCCAUUUCAAGCUUUCAAAAGCUUGAUUUUAUUUUAUAAACUCCCUAACUCCUUUAAGUAAGUCUUGUUCUUGGACUUUGACAAGCAUCUUGACAACAAAAAGAGGAGGAAAGAAAGAAGAUUUGAAAAGGGAGAAAUUCAACAAAAGAGUUGAAAAGAAUAUCGGGAAGGAACCCGAGGAACCGAGUCGAGGCUAAAGGACGACUCGUUUGAGAUAUAGAGAUUAGAGGAGCAGCAGACUGAGCUGCUGAGGUGUGUGAAGUCAUCAGCUUGAAGUCUUCGG